GCCCAUCAGGUAGGGGCAGGACUAGGCAUGUCUGAGCUCAGACUCUCCUUCGAUGGGUCUUGCUGUGGCUGCUGUGGGAGAUGAGGGUGAGGUUCCCAGGUCAAUGGAGUUGUGUACCUAGAAAGAUUAUGGCUGCCUCUGCUGAGUCAUGCAGGUUGUCAGGGAAGUGGGGGAAAGCCGACAGUCACAGGCCUCAUUCAGCUCCCACACAAUUCAGAGGGCCGGUCUCCCUCUCACUGUGACCCGCUAACAACCCUGAGGCUGUUUCCAGGCAGUGGGCCGAGCAGGGCUUGAGAACUUGCCCCAGGCUACCUGCCUCCCAGCUGUGAAAGAACACAGCUUUUGUUCUUCCCCUGCCUGUGGAGUCUACACACCAGAUUUGCACCCUCCCCUGAUUUCCGGCCAGGAAGCUUCUUUCUGGGUUCAAAUUUUUUCAAAUUUCAGCUGGAGACUUCCUUCUUCCUGUGGUGUUUUCCCCCAUACCUCUGGCUGCCCUCCCGAAGGAUCCCUGUCAUGCCAGGCAGGAAUAGCCUGCUUGGGGACCCAGCGAGCUCCUGGGGCCUUUCCCGCUGCUUCCUCUACCCCUGUAUUUUGCUGGGCUCUCUAAAUUGGCUGAGCUCCAGGCAUAUCCACAGCUCUUCAAAUAAGCAAUGUGAUGUUAGCAAAAGUGCAGGGGCUCCUUGAGAACUUUCCAGGGCUAACCAGCUGCUGAGGAGUGGCCUCCAGGAAAGAGAGAAGCACUCUGAUUCAGGCAGUGAUUUACACCUAAAAUACCAACUCCAUCAUAUCUUCAGAACAAUUCUUCUAGACCUUGCAUCUAAAUAUGGAGUCAUUAACUAACAACGAACAAAACCUCUGGAUGGCCGAAGGACCUAGGCUAUACAGAAAGCUGUGAAUUACCAAUGAGAACGCAGAUUAGAUCAAAGAUGUCCCUAAGAAGCGUUGAGAUGUCACAAAGUUCUAGGAGGGGCAUGAUAAAGUAAGCAGAACACCGCAGUGGGCAUCAGAAUGCAUUCCAUUUCCAGACCUAUCUCUUACCAUCUGGAUAUCUCACUCUCAGGAAGAUCAAGUGACAAACCUGGAUUAGUCCAUUUUCACACUGCUACAAGGAACUACCUGAGACUGGGUAGUUUAUGAAGAAAAGAGGUUUAA
rnacentral:lncRNA from 1 species